rnacentral:pre_miRNA from 1 species
UAAUAGAUUGGUGUAAAAUUGGGACUUUAGCAUUUUCAUGCAAUUUAUAUCAUCAUGAUGUGCUAAUGUGUCGGUUUUACAACAAUCACAAA